GGGGAGCCACACAAAAAUAGAAGAUUGUGAAGUGCCACAUGAUUAGCCAUUCAUAUGAUAUAAUAUCAAGAAACCAACAAAGGGGCACCAUCCAGGGGUAAAAAUUUCAAGUUUCUAAUAUGAAAUUUCAUAUCCAAAUUGGAUGGCAAGCAACAGCAAGCAGAGAAACAACAUCCACAGAAAUAAACAAAUACAAAGAACAUAGCUGCCAAGAGGAAGAAGGGCAGGGGCUCACUGUCAUUUUACCCGAUUUCCCUAAAUUUUCACGACUGAAUGCCGAAUCUGCCAUAAACACUGACGGCUGCUAUAACCUUCUAAAAGAGUAAAAUUUGUACAAGAUUAAACGCCUAUGGGGCCAAAAAGAGUAACAACCAAUUAAAUUACAAAAGCUAAUCAGAUGUGCUAUGAUACAAUACACAUCAGUUUCAGCUUCUACCACUCAUUGACUAAUCAUCAUGAAGCCGCAACAGUACGAGCAGUGCUCCGUCCAAGACCA
rnacentral:misc_RNA from 1 species